rnacentral:rRNA from 1 species
GACAGAGGGGGCAAGCGUUGCUCGGAAUCACUGGGCGUAAAGGGCGCGUAGGCGGGAUGGCAAGUCGGUCGUGAAAUCUCUCGGCUCAACCGAGAAACGUCGGCCGAUACUGCCGUUCUUGAGGGAUGCAGAGGAGACUGGAAUUCCCGGUGUAGCGGUGAAAUGUGUAGAGAUCGGGAGGAACACCGGUGGCGAAGGCGGCAUCCUGGACCAAUACUGACGCUGAGGAGCGAAAAGCCAGGGGAGCAAAGCGGGG